AGCAUUACUAGUAUUAGAGGCACUGCCYGCCCAGUGACACACGUUUAACGGCCGCGGUACCCUGACCGUGCAAAGGUAGCAUAAUCACUUGUUCUUUAAAUAGGGACUCGUAUGAAUGGCACCACGAGGGUUUAACUGUCUCUUACUUUCAACCAGUGAAAUUGACCUGUCCGUGAAGAGACGGACAUGAAACAAUAAGACGAGAAGACCCUNNGGAGCUUUAAUUUAUUAGUACAACUAAAAACCAUACAAACCAACAGGUCCUAAAUCCCCACAUCUGUGCUAAAAAUUUUGGUUGGGGCGACCUCGGAGCACAACCAAACCUCCGAAUAAUCCACGCUAAGACUACACAAGUCAAAGCAAACUAACACUUACAAUUGACCCAAUAGUUUGAUCAACGGAACAAGUUACCCCAGGGAUAACAGCGCAAUUCUAUUCUAGAGUCCAUAUCAACAAUAGAGUUUACGACCUCGAUGUUGGAUCAGGAUAUCCUAAUGGUGCAGCAGCUAUCAAGGGUUCGUUUGUUCAACG
rnacentral:rRNA from 1 species